CUAAUUAAGAGGAAAUUGAAUUAAAAUAGAAAAGCACCACUCAUUUAUACAAAUCCAUAUACUCAUCAAAAAGGCACUGAAAAAAAAUUAAUCAGAAAGGUGCUUUACUUUUAAAGUGAAUUCAGAGGAAGGAUCUGCAUUUUAUGGCAGAUAGAGCAAUUGGAGAGGAAGCUCCUUUCGAUGUAGCACGUGAAUUGCUCAUUGCUAUAUCUAAUUUGCUACCGGAUAUAGUGCUUGUGGAGAAUUCUUGCACCUCAAACGGUUCUAUAACGUCUUCAGGGGACAGAACAGAGGAUUUCAGGUCACAAUUGAUGUCCAUUUCUCAUACUCAAUCUUCAGAGGUUGUUGUUGUCCUGUGUAAUGGUUAUAUAUAGUUGUAAUUGCUCGUUAAUGAGUCGUUGAUCGCCUUUCUGUGUUCUUAUGCUCUCGCCUUAUGAGUGAAUCGAGCUUACUCUCCUAUGGAUGGAUCAUGUUCUAGUAGUAUCAUGUGUGUGUUGAGUUCUUGUCAUUGAAGUUCUUGUUUGUAGUAUUGGCUAAAUUCUGUUUUUUAGGUGUGAGAUACAUCAUGUUUAGUGUCCACAAGGGUAUAUUAUCAAUAACAUUGAAUUUGCACUGUAAGUGUGUUGAGUUCUUGUUUGUGGUAUUGGUGUGAUAUGCGUAAGCUAUAUGUCAUGAGUUCGAGCUAUGUAAUUAGCCACUGAUUCUUGCGUUAGGAUAAGUUGUCUA